ACUUUUCGGGACGACGUACGUAUGUCAUCUCUUGAAGUUGAUGUGGACACAAACGAUGGCAAAAUAGUGAACGAAAAAUUCGGUGCAGGUGGGCAGGAAAUGAGUAGCAAGGAUCUCAGGUUGCGCUC
ensembl:ncRNA T24D8.17 ncRNA